rnacentral:rRNA from 1 species
AGCUACUAAGGGCAUACGGUGGAUGCCUAGGCGCCAAGAGCCGAAGAAGGACGCGGUAAGCUGCGAAAAGCCACGGGGAACUGCAAGCAAGUAUUGAUCCGUGGAUAUCCGAAUGGGGAAACCCGGCCAUCGUCAUGGAUGGUCACCCGCAAGGGAGGGAACCUGGGGAACUGAAACAUCUAAGUACCCGGAGGAAGAGAAAUCAAACGAGAUGCCCACAGUAGCGGCGAGCGAAGAGGGCAGAGCCCAAACCGAGAAGCUCCGGCUUUUCGGGGUUGAGGACCGGCAGAAUCGAAGUCAGGCCUAGUCGAAUUACCUGGAAAGGUAAGCGAGAGAGGGUAAAAGCCCCGUAGACGAAAGGCAGAGCAGAGAGGCCGAGAUCCAGAGUACCACGAAGCACGAGGAAUUUUGUGGGAAGCAGGGGGGACCACCCUCCAAGGCUAAAAACUACUUGGCGACCGAUAGCGCAUAGUACCGUGAGGGAAAGGUGAAAAGAACCCCGGGAGGGGAGUGAAAUAGUACCUGAAACCGUAUGUCUACAAGCAGUCGAAGCGAAAGCGACGGCGUGCCUAUUGAAGAAUGAACCAACGAGUUAUCUGCACUAGCGAGGUUAAGUGGAAGACACGGAGCCGCAGCGAAAGCGAGUCUUAAGAGGGCGCUAGUUAGUGUAGGUAGACCCGAAACCGCAGUGAUCUACCCAUGUCCAGGUUGAAGCGCAGGUAAAAUUGCGUGGAGGACCGAACCGGUGAGCGUUGAAAAGCUUUCGGAUGAGAUGUGGGUAGGGGUGAAAUUCCAAUCGAACGCGGAGAUAGCUGGUUCUCCCCGAAAUAGCUUUAGGGCUAGCCUGAGGUAGUAAGUAUAGGCGGUAGAGCACUGAUCGGGCUAGGGGCCGUAAAGGUUACCGAACCCUGUCAAACUCCGAAUGGAUAUACUGUAGAGCCUUGGAGUCAGACUACGAGUGAUAAGAUCCGUGGUCAAAAGGGAAACAGCCCAGACCACCAGCUAAGGUCCCCAAUGUCGUACUAAGUGGAAAAGGAUGUGGGGUUUCAUAAACAACCAGGAUGUUGGCUCAGAAGCAGCCACCAUUUAAAGAGUGCGUAAUAGCUCACUGGUCGAGAGACCCUGCGCCGAAGAUUCCCGGGGCUAAAGUACGAAACCGAAGCUGUGGCUGUAUACGUAAAGUAUACGGGGUAGGGGAGCGUUCCCAUAGGGUAGAAGUCGAACUGGAAGGUUCGGUGGACUUGUGGGAAGUGAGAAUGUUGGUAUGAGUAGCGAAAAGAAAGGUGAGAAUCCUUUCCACCGAAAGCAUAAGGAUUCCUGAGCAACGAUCGUCGUCUCAGGGUAAGUCGGGACCUAAUCCGAGGCAGAGAGCGUAGGAGAUGGACAACUGGUUGAUAUUCCAGUACCGGUAGUAAUUGUUUGAGCAAUGGAGUGACACAGAAGGGCAGGCAAGCAUGCGAAUGGAAGAGCAUGUGUAAGCGUGUAGGGUGGUGCAUAGGCAAAUCCGUGCACUGAAAGCCUGAGGCGUGAUGCGGAGUGAGCAGAGAUGCGAGCGAAGUUGUUGACCCCACACUGUCGAGAAAAGCUUCUAGUGAGAGAGCUACCGCCCGUACCGUAAACCGACACAGGUAUGCGGGGAGAGAAUCCUAAGGUGCGCGGGAGAACCCUCGUUAAGGAACUCGGCAAAAUGUACCCGUAACUUCGGGAUAAGGGUAGCCACUGUUGUGAAGUCCCAUGCGGAUGGAGCAUAGAGUGGUCGCAGAGAAGAGGCCCAAGCGACUGUUUACCAUAAACACAGGUGCCUGCUAAAGCGAAAGCUGACGUAUAGGUGCUGACACCUGCCCAGUGCCGGAAGGUUAAGGAAGGAUGUUCGGAUUAGUCCAAAGCAUUCGACUGAAGCCCCGGUGAACGGCGGCCGUAACUAUAACGGUCCUAAGGUAGCGAAAUUCCUUGUCGGGUAAGUUCCGACCCGCACGAAAGGUGUAACGAUUUGGGCACUGUCUCAACGAGGGACCCGGUGAAAUUGAAAUACCUGUGAAGAUGCAGGUUACCCGCGACUGGACAGAAAGACCCCAUGGAGCUUUACUGUAACCUGACAUUGGGUUUUGAUACAUUACGUACAGGAUAGGUGGGAGGCUUGGAAAGCUGGACGCUAGUCUGGCUGGAGCCGACGUUGGGAUACCACCCUUGAUGUAUUGAAAUUCUAACCGCGAGAGUAACGAAAUCCGGGACAGUGUCAGGCGGGCAGUUUGACUGGGGCGGUCGCCUCCGAAAGAGUAACGG